UACGUAGGGUGCGAGCGUUAAUCGGAAUUACUGGGCGUAAAGCGCGCGUAGGCGGCUUUGCAAGCCGGAUGUGAAAUCCCCGGGCUUAACCUGGGAACUGCAUUCGGGACUGCAUUGCUAGAGUAUGGGAGAGGGAAGUGGAAUUUCAGGUGUAGCGGUGAAAUGCGUAGAUAUCUGAAGGAACAUCAGUGGCGAAAGCGACUUCCUGGACCAAUACUGACGCUCAUGUGCGAAAGCGUGGGAGCAAACAGG
rnacentral:rRNA from 1 species